GUCAAACUGGAUUAAGUCAACUGUAGAUGUACCGAAAGGCGGCUCUGGUUUGGCUGGGCCAGUCCCAGUUUGCGAUCCGUCCUUCCCUCCCCAACCAGAGCAGCGCGCGUUCCUUUGAAGCUGCGAACUUGUCCGCGGUCCCUGGGUUCCCACUGCGGCUGCGCAGUUUGCAGACGCUCCCUUGCGCCUCUCUUCAGAGCGGGGCAAGUGCCUGCUCGCUUCACUUCCAUUCUGGACGAGGGAAGGUCACCUUUGUGAUGUUCUACAGUCCACUGAAGGUGGUUUUUCCUCUUGACUGACAAGUUUGGGAAGAAAAAGCCAUUGGACUUGGGGGUGUAUCCUCUUUGCUUAUCCAAGCAAGAGAUGAUGGAUAACCUACAAGUGAGGUAGGACGUGAGUUGAUUGUACAUGGUUUUGAAGCCAUUAAUUAAAAUGUUCAUAAAUAUCCAUGGGGUUA
rnacentral:lncRNA from 11 species